rnacentral:rRNA from 1 species
UACGUAGGGGGCAAGCGUUGUCCGGAUUUAUUGGGCGUAAAGAGCGUGUAGGCGGCCAUGCAGGUCCGUUGUGAAAACUCGAGGCUCAACCUCGAGACGCCGAUGGAAACCGCAUGGCUAGAGUCCGGAAGAGGAGAGUGGAAUUCCUGGUGUAGCGGUGAAAUGCGCAGAUAUCAGGAGGAACACCAAUGGCGAAGGCGGCUCGCUGGGACGGUACUGACGCUAAGGCGCGAAAGCGUGGGGAGCGAACAGGA